UGCCAAUAUUUAAUAGGAUUUAGAUAUAUUAGAAGGCUACACCUAGGCAAAAUGCAUUAUAAAAUGCAUUAUAAAAUGCAUCUUCAAAAUAGCGCUUACUGAAUAUUAGGGUAACAUUUUCCUCCAUGUUAGCAAAUCGAAAAAAUGCAGAGGCCCGGCAGACUGGAGGGGGUCCACCACCUGCAGCCCUCACAGAGGCUGAGGAGAUGGCCCUCAGCCAACAGAGUAUGCGUCCUGGCUGAGGGCAUCCCUGGGGGGAGCUCCUCUGAUCCCCCCCACCCCCCAGGAUAGAAGUGCACCUUUACAGUAUAAGAGUUACUGAUGGCGUCAUCGCCCUACUUGAACCAGAUGCCCUCACCAACCUCCAUGCAAUUGUAACAAUUCAAAAGAUGCAAAAGGAUGCUUUGGAGAUCCAAAUUUUGGAACAUAAGUUAUAGG